GCACCCAAGCCUGGGCAACAAAGCAAGAAUCUGUCUCAAAAAAAAGAAAAAAGAAGAAAAAGAAGAAGAGAAGAGAAACAUUCUGUUUUAGUCAAAUGGGCUAGAUUUAUUUGACCAGCAUGUGCAUGCAAGUGUGUUGUAGGGAAAAACUGAGCCUUCUUACGAAAAACCUUCUGUUGUAAUCCCUAGGUCUUUAAUGACCCCUCUCAUGGAGGCCCUGAAGCUGAUGUGUAAGGGCAGAUUAAAGAUGGAGAAGGGUACAAAGCAUCUCAAGUUUUGUUCAACUACUUGCUUUCAUUUAUCACACUUGCAGGUUUUAUGACUAGUUAAACAUCUUUUCAUUUGUACUUGAUGGUUAAUUUUUUUCUAAAUCAAUCUUCCGUGAGAAGACGGAGGGAAAGACUGGUUAGGUUUUUCUUUAUGCUCGAACUUUACACCUUGGAAAUAUUUAUGGUUCACUCUUGGUUCUUCUUAUCCAAGGGAAGUAGCCUUGCUAAUUGAAUGAAGCUUAGACAUCCUCAAAACCUGUCCUCUCACAGUCUGAGUGAGGAAAUAGGCCUGGAAAGGUCAAGAACUCCUCCAACAUGGCAGAGGCAGGUUUAGCACCCAGGUGUCCUGGGAUCUCUCCCUAGCCCGUCACUUUGACUUUUGGUCUUUCACCACUUGAUCUGGUCAUGUUGCAGAACUUUUAGGUCUAUCUUGGAGUUAUUGCUGUCUAAAUUGUCAUCAACAAGUCUUUAUAAUCUGCCAGUAUUUAUUUACAUCCUCUCAGGGGUGAUAAAGAUUUAUGUGAUGGAUAUUUGUUAUUUGAGGAGGGAUUUCACUUUUAAAAAUAAACAAAAUAAUUUAGAGGUAAUCUGUGAGCAAUACAGGUAACUCUGUUUUUCAUUUUUUCCAUUAAAUGCCGAGAAAUAGCUUUAAAACAAUAAAGUCAGUGCUGGUGGUGGCUUAAAAACAACCUCUAAAGUUCCUUUUAGAAAAGGAGUUCCAGUAAGUUUAAACUGAUUUCUUACUUAUUUUAAUAUGUGAAAAAGUCAUAUAGCUUUAUAGAAUUUAUAAUGUCUUCACAGCAUGAUGAUUUGCUACCAAGUAUAAUCUAAAUUUCCACAGGACGGUUAGACUUAAUUGAGGUAUUAUCAUUCUACAAAGCCAAACUUCUGAAUAUCAGAAUGUUCUCGUUGUGUCUACAAUAAGCAUAAGAAUUUAGAGAAUUCUGCAUUUGAAUUUAGGGUUUUUCUUAUGAUUGGCCUAAGUGUAAAUAUUUCAUAUAGCUUUCAAAAAAGAACCAAUUCCAGAAUAUUUUUUUCCUUUCAAAUUUGUGUUUGGUCUAGUGGGAAGCAUAUAUGUUAAGAAACAGAAUCAUAGAUCUUUUUUAGGCAAUAGAAAAAUUAUUUAUAUGGAUUUAUAUUUGUGUAUGUUCCUAUUGUAAAAAAAUUGUCUUAAUUCAUUCUUACUGGCAUAGCAAAACUAGAUAAUCCCACUUUGCCAGUUACUGUAACCUGUUACUUCUUUUACUUUAUGGAUCAAGUAGGGAAAAAAGUUUUUGACAGUAGCUGAACUUAUUUCUGUUUCUGGAACACAGUUCUACAAAAGACCAACUUUUAAAGUAAAAAUGAAUAAAAAAUAAGAAACAAUGUAUGUUUCUCUUGCUAAUUCAACCUAGAAGCAGAUGGAGAGGCCAUGGAGGUAAGUCCUGUGCUUCUAUAGGCCUGAUUCUUGUUUCUAAUAUUUGAUCUAAUUGUAUCAGUUUAUGUCUCCUGGGAAACAGACACCAAAAUAUAAUUAGAAGAGCAAGAAAUUUAUCAAGAGUAAUUUCAGUGAAAGAUAAAGAGGAAAAGGAAGCAGGAAUAGACAAAGAAAGACUCAGACUACUGUGAUAUAAGUCUGACCCCUGCAGAAAGGGAGAAUAGGAAAGAAGGAUUCGGCAGGCCUAGCCUCAAAGGGCAUUAAGUAUACCACUGACAAAACCUCAGCCAACCAAAAGAGAGCUCUGGUGCAAAGAGUGACAGAGGAGGAACUCUGCAUAAGGGGCAGAUGGCCAGGCCCUGGUACACCAUACCCAGGCAUAUCUAGUCUCCUGAGGGCACUAGAGCAGGAGGCUCUCAACUGACUGCACUCCUCCAGGUGAAUAGUAGUGUAUUCAUAUUCUUUUUAUAUGAGGAGUGCAUCCUGACUGCCCCAUUAGUAGUGAGAGAUAUUACAUUUUUCUUGGAAGGGCACCUUCCAAGAAACUGUGGGGAUACUUGCAAACCGUGGGGAUACCUUGGGCAUAUUGAAUAGUAUCACGGUAAAGUUGGACUCCUGAAGUCAACUCAUUCACAGGAGUCAUAUCAGUAUCCUGCAUGCCAUUGUUUUCUACUAAAAAGUCCCAAACUGGCAGUUCUAUGUUUUAAGCAAGAUGAUGAGGUGCAUUUCUAACAAAUUCUUAUUGCUAAACUGAGGGAAAUAUGGCAACGCUGUCAAAAGUAAUAUGUACUCAUUAUCUUUUGAAUAAUUGGAGCAAAGCUGAGAUUGUUAACAAUACAUAAUUGGUUGACGUGCUACCAGGGACAUUUCAUGCCCUUGUGCAGUUCUGUGAAAUCAGUUUGGAUUGUGGUCUUCUAGUCCCUGGUCUCUCUCUCUUUCGUUACUCCAGCAAUCCAUCCUGUUGAUAAACAGUUAAUUUUAAAUCACAGAGGUCAUUUAUAGCUAGCGUAUUAGAUUGUGAGGAAUUGGCUUUUGCAAUUAUGGAGGCUGAAAAGUCCUAUAAUCUGCAAGCUGGAGACCCAGUAAAGCCAGUGGUAUAAUUAUAGUCCAAUUCUGAAUGCCUGACAACCAGGGGAGUGGAAGAUGUAAAUCUCAGUUCAAGCACAGAAGGCUGAUGUCUCAGCUCAGGCAAGCAGGCAAGAAGCAAAAGGGAAAAAUUCCUCUUUCCUCCACUUUUUUCCUUCUAUUUAGGCCUUCAACAGGUUAGAUGAUGCCAGCCUAUACCAGUGAGAAUCAUCUACUUUAUGGAGUCCACUGAUUUAAAUGCUAACCUCAUGUGGAAAUACCUGCAUGGACGCAGCCAGAAUUAAUGUUUACACUGAGCGCACCAUGGCACAGUAGAGUUGACACAUGCAAUUAACCAUCACACCUAGGAACACAGGAGCAAUCAAUUUUGUUAAGGGGAUUCAG